CAAGGCAGUGAAGAGGGAUUCUCUAUAACCUUCCUCUCCUUUGGCCUGCUCCAUCUUCGCCCCUGGUGUGGAAGGUAUUUUGUUUUUAAACAUCAAGAUCAUCCUAUGAGCUUUCUGAUGGCAUCAUUGUGGUUCGUGUGAGUUCUACAAAGAAGAUUAUGUAACUGGUUCUCCAGCUAUAAAUGGGCCAACUCAAAAGAGAAAAGGAAUAAUCAGCUCUGGAAGGAGACUCUUCUAACUCCCUCAGCAAGUUUAAGGGACUUGCCUAAAGCUGCAGAGCUGGUUAGUACAGGAGCAUGCCUUCUCCUCCUGCAACUAGAUGUUAAGCUCCCAAGAGGCCGGAAUAGACCAGGUCGGUACAUUCUUCUCUCCAGAUCCACCCAGUGGCUGGCUUUGGAUAAAAGUACCCCAGGCCACCUUAACCCCAAACUGGGUUAGAGCUUGGAUCUGUGACUGAGGCUGCUUAGAGAUGUGUGAUGGAAAGGAAGUGCUCCUGGGCGUUCAGUGUAGCCCUGAGACACUUUUGGUUGCAGAGACCCUGGUAGUCACCUACUGAUCUUUAGAAUCUGCUCAUCUUCAUCAUCUCUUACCCCAUGCAUGGUGGUAUUUUGAAAGACAGCAGCUGGGCUUAGGAUAAAGAAGACAUAGCUCACAGGCUAAUGUCCUGCUCUUUCACCUGGAGUCCUGAUACGUUUUCUGCCCAGACAGGAAGCCAUGGGGACCCCUCAUUCUCCCAGGCU